rnacentral:rRNA from 1 species
GCUGGCGGCGUGCCUAACACAUGCAAGUCGAACGGAACUGUUUUGAAAGAUUUCUUCGGAAUGAAUUUGAUUUAGUUUAGUGGCGGACGGGUGAGUAACGCGUGAGUAACCUGCCUUCAAGAGGGGGAUAACAUUCUGAAAAGGAUGCUAAUACCGCAUGACAUAUCGGAACCACAUGGUUUUGAUAUCAAAGAUUUUAUCGCUUGAAGAUGGACUCGCGUCCGAUUAGUUAGUUGGUGAGGUAACGGCUCACCAAGACCGCGAUCGGUAGCCGGACUGAGAGGUUGAACGGCCACAUUGGGACUGAGACACGGCCCAGACUCCUACGGGAGGCAGCAGUGGGGGAUAUUGCGCAAUGGGGGCAACCCUGACGCAGCAACGCCGCGUGAAGGAUGAAGGUUUUCGGAUUGUAAACUUCUUUUAUUAAGGACGAAAAAUGACGGUACUUAAUGAAUAAGCUCCGGCUAACUACGUGCCAGCAGCCGCGGUAAUACGUAGGGAGCAAGCGUUGUCCGGAUUUACUGGGUGUAAAGGGUGCGUAGGCGGCUUUGCAAGUCAGAUGUGAAAUCUAUGGGCUCAACCCAUAAACUGCAUUUGAAACUGUAGAGCUUGAGUGAAGUAGAGGCAGGCGGAAUUCCCCGUGUAGCGGUGAAAUGCGUAGAGAUGGGGAGGAACACCAGUGGCGAAGGCGGCCUGCUG